rnacentral:rRNA from 1 species
CAUUACCGAGUUUACAACUCCCAAACCCCUGUGAACAUACCUUAAUGUUGCCUCGGCGGAUCAGCCCGCGCCCCGUAAAACGGGACGGCCCGCCAGAGGACCCAAACUCUAAUGUUUCUUAUUGUAACUUCUGAGUAAAACAAACAAAUAAAUCAAAACUUUCAACAACGGAUCUCUUGGUUCUGGCAUCGAUGAAGAACGCAGCAAAAUGCGAUAAGUAAUGUGAAUUGCAGAAUUCAGUGAAUCAUCGAAUCUUUGAACGCACAUUGCGCCCGCUGGUAUUCCGGCGGGCAUGCCUGUUCGAGCGUCAUUUCAACCCUCAAGCCCCCGGGUUUGGUGUUGGGGAUCGGCUCUGCCUUCUGGCGGCGCCGCCCCCGAAAUACAUUGGCGGUCUCGCUGCAGCCUCCAUUGCGUAGUAGCUAACACCUCGCAACUGGAACGCGGCGCGGCCAUGCCGUAAAACCCCAACUUCUGAAUGUUGACCUCGGAUCAGGUAGGAAUACCCGCUGAACUUAAGCAUAUCAA